rnacentral:lncRNA from 1 species
UGGGCCCUUAGUCACCCUCACCUGCUACCUCCCUGGCCUGAGUCAUCACAGAGCAAACAGCACUGUUUCUCCCCCCAGCUCUCCGACUCAACUCCCUCCACGGAAACAGAAGCAACAGAGGGGCCACAAGCAUGGGGGUGCGCAGAUCCAACCAUGUACCCACCAGUUACCUUUGGGGUUCUAGAGCCAAUGGAUGACCGUAUAAAAUGGACCCUCAGAUAAAGUGCACUAGGUACUAAGUCACUCUCCACAGCAGCACAGUGGAUGGGAUGCACCCAGCGGAAGAGCAACAAACUCAUUAAGAAAGACUACUGUCUCACAAGAGCCAAGCUCAUUCAGGUUGUGCAGGCCUCUCCCUCCAGCUCCAGUGCAUCUUGUCUGGGAGUCUGUCACAGCUGA